rnacentral:rRNA from 1 species
AUUUUGGACAAUGGGGGAAACCCUGAUCCAGCCAUCCCGCGUGUAUGAUGAAGGCNUUNNGGUUGNANAGUACUUUUGGCAGANNNNNAAAGGUAUCUCCUAAUACGAGAUACUGCUGACGGUAUCUGCAGAAUAAGCACCGGCUAACUACGUGCCAGCAGCCGCGGUAAUACGUAGGUGGCAAGCGUUGUCCGGAAUUAUUGGGCGUAAAGCGUGUGUAGGCGGUUCGGAAAGAAAGAUGUGAAAUCCCAGGGCUCAACCUUGGAACUGCAUUUUUAACUGCCGAGCUAGAGUAUGCCAGAGGGGGGUAGAAUUCCACGUGUAGCAGUGAAAUGCGUAGAUAUGUGGAGGAAUACCGAUGGCGAAGGCAGCCCCCUGGGAUAAUACUGACGCUCAGACACGAAAGCGUGGGGAGCAAACAG